rnacentral:snRNA from 1 species
AAUCCCAGCUACUUGGGAGGCUGGGGCACAAGAACCGCCUGAACCCAGGAGGCAGAGGUUGCAGUGAGCCAAGAUUGCACCACUGCAUUCCAGCCUGGGUGACAAAG